rnacentral:rRNA from 1 species
GAUGAACGCUGGCGGCGUGCCUAAUACAUGCAAGUCGAGCGAAUGGAUUAAGAGCUUGCUCUUAUGAAGUUAGCGGCGGACGAGUGAGUAACACGUGGGUAACCUGCCCAUAAGACUGGGAUAACUCCGGGAAACCGGGGCUAAUACCGGAUGACAUUUUGAACCGCAUGGUUCGAAAUUGAAAGGCGGCUUCGGCUGUCACUUAUGGAUGGACCCGCGUCGCAUUAGCUAGUUGGUGAGGUAACGGCUCACCAAGGCAACGAUGCGUAGCCGACCUGAGAGGGUGAUCGGCCACACUGGGACUGAGACACGGCCCAGACUCCUACGGGAGGCAGCAGUAGGGAAUCUUCCGCAAUGGACGAAAGUCUGACGGAGCAACGCCGCGUGAGUGAUGAAGGCUUUCGGGUCGUAAAACUCUGUUGUUAGGGAAGAACAAGUGCUAGUUGAAUAAGCUGGCACCUUGACGGUACCUAACCAGAAAGCCACGGCUAACUACGUGCCAGCCGCCGCGGUAA